UACGGAGGGGGCUAGCGUUGUUCGGAAUUACUGGGCGUAAAGCGCGCGUAGGCGGAAUGUUAAGUCAGGGGUGAAAUCCCGGGGCUCAACCCCGGAACUGCCUUUGAUACUGGCAUUCUCGAGUCCGGAAGAGGUGGAGUGGAAUUCCGUGGGUGUAGCGGUGGAAUGCGCAGAUAUCAGGAGGAACAUCCGUGGCGAAGGCGGCUCUCUGGGACGGUACUGACGCUGAGACGCGAAAGCGUGGGGAGCGAACAGG
rnacentral:rRNA from 1 species